CCUACGGGAGGCAGCAGUGAGGAAUAUUGGUCAAUGGGCUUAAGCCUGAACCAGCCAAGUCGCGUGAGGGAAGACUGCCCUAUGGGUUGUAAACCUCUUUUGUCAGGGAGCAAUUGGCGCUACGUGUAGCGUUAUCGAGAGUACCUGAAGAAAAAGCAUCGGCUAACUCCGGGCCAGCAGCCGCGGUAAGACGGAGGAUGCGAGCGUUAUCGGGAUUUAUGGGGUUUAAAGGGUGCGUAGGCGGAAUGCCAAGUCAGCGGUAAAACCGCGGGGCUCAACCUCGCUCCGCCGUUGAAACUGGCGUUCUAGAGUGGGCGAGAAGUAUGCGGAAUGCGUGGUGUAGCGGUGAAAUGCAUAGAUAUCACGCAGAACUCCGAUUGCGAAGGCAGCAUGCCGGCGCCCAACUGACGCUGAAGCACGAAAGCGUGGGUAGCGAACAGGAUUAGAUACCCGAGUAGUC
rnacentral:rRNA from 1 species